AACGAACGCUGGCGGCAGGCUUAACACAUGCAAGUCGAGCGCCCCGCAAGGGGAGCGGCAGACGGGUGAGUAACGCGUGGGAACGUACCUUUUGGUUCGGAACAACUCCGGGAAACUGGAGCUAAUACCGGAUAAGCCCUAACGGGGAAAGAUUUAUCGCCGAAAGAUCGGCCCGCGUCUGAUUAGCUAGUUGGUGAGGUAACUGCUCACCAAUGCGACGAUCAGUAGCUGGUCUGAGAGGAUGAUCAGCCACACUGGGACUGAGACACGGCCCAGACUCCUACGGGAAGCAGCAGUGGGGAAUAUUGGACAAUGGGCGCAAGCCUGAUCCAGCCAUGCCGCGUGAGUGAUGAAGGCCUUAGGGUUGUAAAGCUCUUUUGUCCGGGAAGAUAAUGACUGUACCGGAAGAAUAAGCCCCGGCUAACUUCGUG
rnacentral:rRNA from 1 species